UUCACUAAAACCAAACCAUAUAUGAGUUACAGCAGGUUCUGCUCCGUCCGUAAACUGCAGCUGCCUGUCCUAUCAUCCUCAGAUAUAAAAAAAAAAAAAACCCUCCAGCUGUCUCGUCACUCUCUGCUACAUCACCAACUGGAAGUUAUCAUUGCACUGUCUGUAUUUCACUAACCUAUGGCUGUCACAUUAGACUGUGCUAUUCCACUAACCUAUGGCUGUCACAUCCCACUCUGCUAUUCUACUAACCUAUGGCUGUCACAUUAGACUGUGC